CGGCAGGCUUAACACAUGCAAGUCGAGGGGUAACAGGUCCUUCGGGAAUGCUGACGACCGGCGCACGGGUGAGUAACGCGUAUGCAACCUUCCUGUAUCUGGAGGAUAGGCCUUGGAAACGAGGAUUAAUACUGCGUAACAUUAUAUUAUCGCAUGAUAAAAUAAUCAAAUCUACGGAGGAUACAGAUGGGCAUGCGUGCCAUUAGCUAGAUGGUAAGGUAAGGGCUUACCAUGGCGACGAUGGCUAGGGGUUCUGCAAGGAAGAUCCCCCACACUGGUACUGAGACACGGACCAGACUCCUACGGGAGGCAGCAGUGAGGAAUAUUGGUCAAUGGAGGCAACUCUGAACCAGCCAAGCCGCGUGAAGGAAGACUGUUCUAUGAAUUGUAAACUUCUUUUGUGACAGAGUAAAGAUAGCUAUGCGUAGUUAUUUGCAAGUAUGUCAUGAAUAAGCAUCGGCUAACUCCGUGCCAGCAGCCGCGGUAAUACGGAGGAUGCAGGCGUUAUCCGGAUUUAUUAGGUUUAAAGGGUGUUCAGGCUGUCUGGUAAGUCAGAGGUGAAAGUCGGUUGCUUAACGAUCGAAUUGCCUUUGAAACUGUCAGACUUGAGUAUGGAUGCGGUAGGCGGAAUGUGUAGUGUAGCGGUGAAAUGCAUAGAUAUUACACAGAACACCGAUUGCGAAAGCAGCUUACCAAACCAGCACUGACGCUGAAGCACGAAAGCGUGGGUAGCGAACAGGAUUAGAUACCCUGGUAGUCCACGCAGUAAACGAUGCUCACUCGCUGUUGGCAAUAGAUCGUCAGCGGCUAAGGGAAACCGAUAAGUGAGCCACCUGGGGAGUACGAUCGCAAGAUUGAAACUCAAAGGAAUUGACGGGGGCCCGCACAAGCGGUGGAACAUGUGGUUUAAUUCGAUGAUACGCGAGGAACCUUACCUGGGCUUAAAUGUACGAUGCAUAAGUGUGAAAGCACUUUUUCCCUUCGGGACUUUGUACAAGGUGCUGCAUGGUUGUCGUCAGCUCGUGCCGUGAGGUGUCGGGUUAAGUCCCAUAACGAGCGCAACCCUUAUUGUUAGUUACCAGCGCGUA
rnacentral:rRNA from 1 species